GGUAAGAACGCAGCGAAAUGCGAUAAGUAAUGUGAAUUGCAGAAUUCAGUGAAUCAUCGAAUCUUUGAACGCACAUUGCGCCCGCCAGUAUUCUGGCGGGCAUGCCUGUCUGAGCGUCAUUUCAACCCUCAUGCCCCUAGGGCGUGGUGUUGGGGAUCGGCCAAAGCCCGCGAGGGACGGCCGGCCCCUAAAUCUAGUGGCGGACCCGUCGUGGCCUCCUCUGCGAAGUAGUGAUAUUCCGCAUCGGAGAGCGAUGAGCCCCUGCCGUUAAACCCCCAACUUUCCAAGGUUGACCUCAGAUCAGGUAGGAAUACCCGCUGAACUUAAGCAUAUCAAUAAGCGGAGGA
rnacentral:misc_RNA from 1 species